rnacentral:rRNA from 1 species
CCUACGGGUGGCAGCAGUAGGGAAUAUUGCUCAAUGGGCGAAACCCUGAAGCAGCAACGCCGCGUGGAGGAUGAAGGUUUUCGGAUUGUAAACUUCUUUUGUUAGAGAAGAUAAUGACGGUAUCUAACGAAUAAGCACCGGCUAAUACCGGGCCAGCAGCCGCGGUAAUACGGAGGGUGCAAGCGUUACUCGGAAUCACUGGGCGUAAGGAGCGCGUAGGCGGGAUAGCAAGUCAGAUGUGAAAUCCUAUGGCUUAACCAUAGAACGGCAUUUGAAACUGUUAUUCUAGAGUAUGGGAGAGGGAGGUGGAAUUCUUGGUGUAGCGGUAAAAUGCGUAGAGAUCAAGAGGAAUACUCAUUGCGAAGGCGACCUGCUAGAACAUAACUGACGCUGAUGCGCGAAAGCGUGGGGAGCAAACAGGAUUAGAUACCCCUGUAGUC